AGAGUUUGAUCCUGGCUCAGGAUGAACGCUGGCGGCGUGCUUAACACAUUCAAGUCGAACGGAGUUCAAUCGGGAGUUUGCUCCCGGCUGAACUUAGUGGCGGACGGGUGAGUAAUGCACGAGCAACCUGCCUUCAGGAGGGGGAUAACAUCGGGAAACCGGUGCUAAUACCGCAUAGAGCAUUUUGCAGGCAUCUGCGAGAUGGGAAAGGAGCAAUCCGCCUGGAGAUGGGCUCAUGU
rnacentral:rRNA from 1 species